rnacentral:lncRNA from 1 species
GAUCCGGGUGCGUCCGCCUCCUCCCACCUACCUUCACGCGAAUUCGUUGACCACCACAAACCGCAGGGGAAAACUGGGAGCCUUCCGCCGCCGCGAGGACAGGCUUCAAUACCCGUUCGUCUAGCCCUGGGAUUUGGUUCUUGUGCUCGGCCCGACCACUGGAAUCGUGUGGUGCUGUUGCUUUCCCUCGGGCACCUUCGUGGCGGCGAUAAUUCCUCGCCGGAGUACCAUCCUUGCCGCUGAUUCGCCCUGCGUCGUGGCUGGCCCUGCCCUGGUAUCCGCCUCUGGUAAGAAGCUAUCCCAGUGAUUCGGUUUGUUUCCUCUGCGCGUAGCACCGAUUCCAUCUGAGUAAUUCGCAUCGGGGCACCAAAUCGUGGGUCACCGGCAAUGGUGCCGCCGUAGUGCAAGGGCGGCGGCGCUGCCGUGUUUGGUGACGGGGGGAGAAGGCGAGCUCGCCGCCAUCCGAUUCUCCUCGGACGGUAGAGAUUAGAUGUGCUCACCCGUUCAGCUUGGACGACUACUAUCCGUCUGAUCGUGAUCGGGUGAUGGACAUCGCUUUAGAAUUUAUUAAAUCCGGGGCGCUAGUGUUUGAUCCAACGGCACAGAUCGUGUACCGGUUCGCUGAGUGAGUAGUCUAAUCCUAGCCGCGAGAUCAAGAUCCAGUGGCUGAUAAUAGAGAAUACCCCUUCGCGGGUCCAUUUUACUUAAGAGCCCUCUGAAAUCCUGAAAAUGAACCCGCCGUCCAGGGACCCUGUUCCUUGUGUCUUGGAAAACUUGCACCGAGCCCCCUGCUAUUCUCAGAUUUCGAGGCCCAGUCCAGAACAUUAUAAAACCAGAGAAAAGAAUUUAUAAAUGGAUUUUUAAUAGGAAAAUAAUUGCUAGAACUUCAAUAAUUCAUAGAAAAUGCAUAUGAACUUCAAAUUACUCCAUUCCAGUUUCUAAAAUUUUGUACUUUUAUUCUCUAUCACUUAGAGCCUUUGUUUUGUCAUGAAAACAAUAUUAAAAUUUAUUUCUCACUUAAUCCUAUUUUAAGCACAUAAAACCUUUGAAAAUCCAUAACUUAAAAUCUAUAACUCGAAAAAUUAUGAUUCCUGUUCCUAGAAUUUUAUUUUAAUGUGUAGAAUAUUACUGUGUAUUUUGUUUACAUGUUUGGUAUGAUGUUAAUUUUCCUAUAUACUGUGCUUGUUUGUAUUGUGGCGAGUAGAAGAGCCUGUGACCGACGAUCUUGGUGAGCAUCAGGUUGAAGUAGCUGAGCAGGAGCUCAUAGAAGGCAAGUUGUGCCCUUGACCACUUUCUACCCAAUAAUGUUCUUUAAUAUCACUUAUUCAUGCAUAGGUUAAUUUUGAUGGGACCCAAUAGGUCACCCUAGAUUGUUUAUCUCAUUACCUUGUUUACCCCUGAAUCACUUGGGUAGUUUGCUAUUGCUUUACAUGGUUUUGGGAUAAUCAUUUAUUAUAUCUAUGUUCCAAUUAUUCUUGUUAUUCUAUUUAUGUUCAUGUCAAGUUCAUUAAUGUUAAUU